rnacentral:rRNA from 1 species
UACCAGCUUCUCGAGUGGUGGGGGCGAUUAUUGGGCCUAAAGCGUCCGUAGCUUGCUUGUCAAGUCUUUCGUCAAAUCCGACGAUUCAAUCGUUGGUCCGCGGAGGAUACUGUCAAGCUUGGGGGCGGAAGAGGCUGGCGGUAUUCCCAGGGUAGGGGUGAAAUCCUAUAAUCCCGGGAGGACCACCAGUGGCGAAGGCGGCCAGCUAGCACGCGCCCGACGGUGAGGGACGAAAGCUGGGGGAGCAAACCGGAUUAGAUACCCGGGUAGUCCCAGCUGUAAACGAUGCAGACUAGGUGUUGGAACGGCUACGUGCCGCUUCAGUGCCGCAGAGAAGUCAUUAAGUCUGCCGCCUGGGGAGUACGGCCGCAAGGCUGAAACUCAAAUGAAUUGACGG